rnacentral:lncRNA from 1 species
UCCUCUACAAAUAAAAUCCAUGAAGUGACAAGGAGCAACCAAUCAUGUGAAGCAAGCUCCCUUCUAAUAAAAAUGUGAGAUAUAGGACAAAUUGGGUUCUUAGUCAUCAUGGGCUAGGCCGCACUCAAGAAGAUAAAACAGAUUGAAUGAUACUUUUUAUGUAUUAUACGAAGAGACUACGCUAGGAAAAAUUAACAGUGUUUUUGUUUAUAGGCUUGACGUGGUCCAAUUUUUUCAUGAACGUGUAGAUUAAAAGACCGCAACGUAUGGUCAAUUUUCACGUAAAAAACAUGGGAUUCCGCCAUGGAUUUAGCAUGUCCGUUACCGUUGUUUAGGCAAAUCGCAACGGACACGCUAUGUUCGUUGCGAGGUGAAAUACUAUUCAAUUUUUCCUAUAGGCAUUUUUAAGACUUAUAUAUAGGGUUGUGUUAG